rnacentral:rRNA from 1 species
UGGGGUUUUUUUGGUUCGGGAAUUUGACAGGUAUGUAGUUGUGUUUUAAGAUAUUUUUUGCCUGAGUAUAUU